UACGUAGGUCCCGAGCGUUGUCCGGAAUCAUUGGGCGUAAAGGGUACGUAGGCGGUUAGAAAAGUUAGAAGUGAAAGGCUAUAGCUCAACUAUAGUAAGCUUUUAAAACUGUUUAACUUGAGGUAUGGAAGGGAAAGCGGAAUUCCUAGUGUAGCGGUAAAAUGCGUAGAUAUUAGGAGGAACACCAGUGGCGAAGGCGGCUUUCUGGCUAUUAACUGACACUGAGGCACGAAAACGUGGGGAGCAAACAGG
rnacentral:rRNA from 1 species